rnacentral:rRNA from 1 species
GUCGCUACUACCGAUUGAAUGUCUUAGUGAGUAAUUGGAAAUAUUUUCUGGCUAGUAAUAGUCUGAAGACGUUAAAGAAUUGCAAACUGUGGCAUUUAGAGGAAGUAA